GUACUUGUGCGAUUGUGCGAAGAAGGGACGCAGGAUGGUAGACAGGCCGGUUUUUGGAAUCCGGUGCAAGUGUGUAGGUAUGCUCCGCAGGCAAAUCCGCGGGGAUGAGCCGAGACACGAGUCCGUGGGCGUAAGCCCUGAAGCUGUUGAGCCACGGCUGCCAAGAAAAGCUUCUAAGUUUAGAUCGCGCGAACCGUACCGCAAACCAACUCAGGUGGAUGGGAUGAAUAAUCCAAGGCGCCCGAGAGAACUCUGGCCAAGGAACUCGGCAAAUUGACCCCGUACCUUCGGAAUAAGGGGUGCUCCCCACGGUGAGACAAAUUCUUGUUCAGCCCCGGGGAGCCGCAGAGAAAUGGUGGUGGCGACUGUUUACUAAAAACAUAGGUCUGUGCGAAGUCCUACAGACGACGUAUACGGACUGACGCCUGCCCGGUGCCGGAAGGUUAAAAGGAGGAGUCAGCGCAAGCGAAGCUCCGAUUUGAAGCCCCGGUAAACGGCGGCCGUAACUAUAACGGUCCUAAGGUAGCGAAAUUCCUUGUCGGGCAAGUUCCGACCUGCACGAAUGGCGUAACGAUCUCCACGCUGUCUCGGCCAGAGACUCGGUGAAAUUGAAGUCGCGGUGAAAAUGCCGUGUACCCGCAGAAAGACGGAAAGACCCUGUGCACCUUUACUAUAGCUUGACAUUGGGUUUUGAACCUGCAUGUGUAGGAUAGGUGGGAGGCUGUGAAAGCUGUACGCCAGUAUGGCCGGAGCCACCCGUGAAAUACCACCCUUGUUUGUUCAGGACCCUAACUCGCAGCUGUAAUCCAGCGCGAAGACAGUGUCUGGUGGGUAGUUUGACUGGGGCGGUCGCCUCCUAAAGAGUAACGGAGGCAUGCAAAGGUUCCCUCAGGCUGAUUGGAAACCAGCCGUUGAGUGCAAGCGCAUAAGGGAGCUUGACUGCAAGAGAGACAUCUCGAACAGAUACGAAAGUAGGUGCUAGCGAUCCGGUGGUCCCGAAUGGAAGGGCCAUCGCUCAUUGGAUAAAAGGUACGCCGGGGAUAACAGGCUGAUCGCAUCCAAGAGUUCACAUCGACGAUGCGGUUUGGCACCUCGAUGUCGGCUCAUCACAUCCUGGGGCUGAAGCAGGUCCCAAGGGUACGGCUGUUCGCCGUUUAAAGUGGUACGCGAGCUGGGUUUAAAACGUCGUGAGACAGUUUGGUCCCUAUCUUCUGUGGGCGUAGAGAAUUGAGAGGGUUUGUCCCUAGUACGAGAGGACCGGGAUGAACGCACCACUGGUGGAUCAGUUGUCGCGCCAGCGGCAUAGCUGAGUAGCUAUGUGCGGAAUGGAUAACCGCUGAAAGCAUCUAAGCGGGAAGCCAGCCUCGAGAUAAGUUCUCCCUGUCGCAAGACACUAAAGGGCCGAUGCAGACUACAUCGUUGAUAGGCCGGAGGUGGAAGCGCUGCGAAGCGUGGAGCUGACCGGUACUAAUAGCCCGUGCGCCG
rnacentral:rRNA from 1 species